rnacentral:lncRNA from 1 species
CACUCUGUUGCCCAGGCUGGAGUGCAGUGGUGUGAUCUCUGCUCACUGCACCCUCCCUCCUGGGUUCAAGUGAUUUUCCUGCCUCAGCCUCCCGAGUAGCUGGGACUAUAGGCUUACACCACCACAUUGGCUAAUUUUUUUUUUUUUUUUUUGUAUUUUUAGUAGAGACAGGGUUUUACCACAUUGGCCAGGCUGGUCUCCAACUCCUGACCUCAAGUGAUCCACCUGCCUUGACCUCCCAAAGUGCUGCGAUUACAGGGGUAGCCACCGCGCCUGGCCCCUGUCUCCAAGCCCUUUCUUGCGGCUAUUGCCAAUCAGGGUCACUGGUCUCCCGGGUGCCUGGAGCCCCACAUCUUGUUCUGAAGCCAGGUCAGCUCUGUGGUUUCCAAACAUAUAGACAGACCAGUCCCAGGAAGUACCCGGGAUUUCCCACAGGAGCCCCUGGAAAAGGGGAGCAGAAGCCGGGUAAGAAAGGGUGGUUCUUCAGGCUUAUACCAAGGGCAGGACAAUG